CCCAGGGCUGAUGUCCUUCAGAAUGGACUGGUUGUAUCUCCUUGCAGUCCAAGGGACUCUCAAGAGUCUUCUCAGACUGACCUUAAAUAAUGGACACACAAGCAAGUGUUAAAUACGUUAGAAUAACUACAAUGGAGAAAAAUUACAGCAAGGAGUGAGAGACUGAGAGUGCAGGUGGUGAUAGAAAGAAGGUAAGAACUGGAAUCAAAACCACAGUGGUCAGGAGGCAUUGGGAAGAUGGCAUUUGUGCUCUUUGAAGGAGGUGCCAUUCUCACAGCCGAGUGAGGCUUCUUCCACCCAAGGACCUUCUGCAGUCAAUGCUUUUCUCAACUUUCCAGGCCUCCAGAGAACACUCUUUCACUAUGGAAUUUCCUUUCAUCAAAAAGACCAACAGCUGGUCCAAACCAAGCUCUUCUUCAUCUCUAUCCAAGAGAUCAGGAUUCUGAGUUCUGGAACCCUGCCACUAUGCAAUUCAUAGAGCCUCCCAAGUGGAAGGGACUAGAGAUCUCCAGCCUCCUGCCCUCACUGAGCUCCCAGCCAACAACAGGCCAGGCAUGUGAGUAUGCCAACUUACAAGUGGAUCCUCCAGACCCUAGAAAGCCUCAGUUGAUGCCACAUGGAACAGAGACAAGUCUUCCCCACCAAGCCCUGCCCGAAUUGCAGUUUCAUGAGUUACUGGGGAGGAUGACCAAGACCAGCUACCACUAGGGCCCUAAGGAAGACAUCCAAGUAUGCAGAGACUGGUCUUCCCAAGUCAACACUCAGCCUGCCUUCUUGGAAGUUCCUCAUCUCAUACACUGAUGUUUCCUCUUCCAUCUCCCCCUGAGACCACACUUCCAUCUUCUGCCUUAACCCUUCCAGGGUUUAGCAAUGUGGUUUAAAGAGGAGCUCAGAGACCCCUCAACUCUUUCAUGGAGAGAGGGGAUGGGGUGAGGGAGACAGGACCAGUGCCUGGUCAUGAAACAUAGUGUAUCUUCUUUAUAUUCAUUUGUUUUGUUGCUUAAUGGAAGAGUGGAGAGCUGAUCACUCGGAGGUACAGAACUUCCCUUUACCUCUCGUCUGCUCUCAAACUUUCAUGAUACAAGAAGAACAAAAAGAAAACUGCUUAACACAUGACCAUGCCCUUGUCCAUACUGCCUUUUCCUUUUAUUCACACCAGAAAAGUAGAAUAAAAUAUUUCCUUGUUAAAAAGAAAAAAAAAAAAAAAAAAAAGGGGGAACAUUGCUCCCUUUUGGAAUGUCAGAGCCAAAGUCAGUGUGGAGGCAUGGAGGCCAGCAGUUUCAGAUUCUGCUAUGCAGUGCCCUCACGUUCUGUGCAAGGGAAGCUACACAGACUUUUCGGCUUAGGUUUUAAAAGCUAUGUAGACAGUUUCUGCCACUUCAACCAGUUUCUGCUUCAUCCCUUUGAUAUAUCAUGGCUUUGUAUAAGAUUUUAUUGAUAACAGGCUAUCAGCGCUUUUUAAAAAGCAUAAAACACCACCUAUCUGCUCCAAUCACCUUCUUUUGCAGGGGGCAAAAGUUGUUUUGUUUUCCUGACUUUAAAAUGUUGACUCUUUAAAAAAUAAGUUGCUUUUUCUAUAGCUAUACAAAGUUCUUAAUAUUUCUUUGACAAUGGAAUGUAAUGGAAUUUUAUGACUGUAUUAAAAAAAAGUUACCUUUGCUCAGAAAUUCUCUACCAUCCAGCACCCUAAUUAUUUGACUAAAUAAAUGGAUUGCCCAGGAAACUUGAUGCAAUGGAAGCAGAGUCAGAACAGAAGCCUCUUAACCUCCUUUUUAGUGCCUUGCAGUCCUCCCCUAACUCAAACACUUCACGUUGUGUGAUUUAUUUGCCAAGAGGAAGUGGGGGCGGGUUGCUAGGAUAACAGAAGCUGACUGACCUUGAAUUUCACCCUCCCAGUGAGUAAGCCAACUCAGUGGCUUUACCACCUCUGUCAUCAUUUCUGCUUCACAGCAGGCUCAUUGUGAGUAGAAAACACAGGACUCUCUAUUGACUAUGCUCCAUGCAGCGCCAUGUGGGCCACACUGAGAUGCCUCAGUCAGCAUCCAGCAGCCUGCAGGCCUACAGAAAGUAGACUCACCAUGCUGGGAAUAUCCUCCUUCGAGCCCAUCAUAUCUCCCAAACUUUGAGACAAUAUAUCCCUAAGAUGUCAACAAGUGUAUUACUUAAAAAAUGUGAAUGGGUAGAAAUAUAUGCAAAGGCCUUGACUUUGAUAUCACUUCCAAGUGAGAUCUCCCUGCCUUCCCAACCCUAAAUGACUCUGAAAUGAUAUAAUGCUCUUAUCUGUUUUGAUCAGGUUGACCCUUUUUAUUUACAGUCUUCUGGUUUUUGUUUUGUGGUUGUGCCCUAGAACCACAGAAUGGAAAGUUCCUUGAAAGCUGGGAUCAGAUUAUAGGAACCUGAGGUUUCCAAACUUCAAAAUAGGACCUAUACAUAAAAAAUAUGCACAUAAAGCUUAGACAGUGUAUUAGAAUCUGAGACUGUCCAGGAAAAUGUAGCAUUGUAGCAAUUGGUAAAUAUAUAUAGCAGGAUACUGUAUGUUUAACAGGCUCCUAAAUCCCCAAGGAAGAAAAAAAUCAGACUCAGUCUGCACAGACUCCAUGACCUAGAGACAUAAUAUGCUGGCCAAGUAUAUAUAUAUAAUGA